GUGAUAUAGGAAGAUAUGGAAUCCAUUUACUUAUAUAGCAGUAGUACAGUAUAUUAUCAACAUUAUAUAUAAUUAGCUAGCUAGCUAGACACCCUUCAUUGAUUGCAUAAAUAAAACAAAAGGAAUAUCAAGGUAUCUUAAAGAGGAUUAAUAUAUCUGAUGAUUAUGAAGAUAGCUCUUCUCGUACUCAUGGUGACGUUGGUGCUGACAUCAGCAACUACGGAGGGAGUGGAUGCAAAACUGAGCAGAAAGGUAAGCGCUGGUGUAAACAAUAAUCAGAAAGUUACUAACAAGAAUGUGGCUGCUGGAAAUUUCGAGGUGAUUAAUGAUGCUGAUGGGUUCUACCCACGUGAUUCGAGCCCUGGAUCACACCGUAGAUAUGAUACUAAGGAUGCUCCGGGACAAGGCAGACACUGAAGAUCAUAUGCGAUGUAAUAUCAACGUCCUCAUGCAUGCAAUGGCUCCAUGUUCGGUGAAUUAGUUUUCUGUAUGUUUCUGUUUGAUGUUGUAAUGAAGAUCACCAGAGCACAGCGUGAUCGUAUGUUAGGUGGUUAUGAGUUAAGUGCAUGCAUGCUCUGUGUGUUUGUUUACGUGAAUUUGUGUGAUUAUUAUGUGUAUGUAAUAAAAUGAUCAUGGCCAGCAUGAGGUGCUUUUCUUAA